GUGGAUAUUGAGGGAGAAACAGAAAAAUCCAAGACAAUCCCCUGUGGAAGAAAAUUCUCCAACCCAAAACUCAACUGAACUCAAAGCGCUGAACAGCGCGUCAAUUAAGACCUGUCAAAUAUAAUCACACGG
rnacentral:lncRNA from 1 species